GAUGAACGCUGGCGGCGUGCCUAAUACAUGCAAGUCGAGCGAACAGACGAGGAGCUUGCUCCUCUGACGUUAGCGGCGGACGGGUGAGUAACACGUGGAUAACCUACCUAUAAGACUGGGAUAACUUCGGGAAACCGGAGCUAAUACCGGAUAAUAUCUUGAACCGCAUGGUUCAAUAGUGAAAGACGGUUUUGCUGUCACUUAUAGAUGGAUCCGCGCCGCAUUAGCUGGUUGGUAAGGUAACGGCCUACCAAGGCGACGAUGCGUAGCCGACCUAAGAGGGUGAUCGCCCACACGGGAGGUGAGACGGGGUCCAUGCUCCUGCGAGACGGCGCAGUAGGGUAUCUUCCGCAGUGGGCGAGAGCCUUGCGGAGUAGGGCCGCGUGAGAUGUAGAGGUCUUCGGAGCGUAAAACUGUGUUAUUAGUGAAAAACAAAUGUGUAAGUAAAUAUGCACGUCUUGACGGUACCUAAUCAGAAAGCCACGGCUAACUACGUG
rnacentral:rRNA from 1 species